GGGGGGGGAUGACGGUCCAUGCCCAAGAGUAGGCGGGGCCGGCCUUCGCCUGGCGGGCAGUGGGGAAACGGAUGAUUAUAAGUCGAAACGGUCCGGAAGGGGGGAGCCCCGCCAAACCCGAAUUUUACCCCUUACGCUCUGAGGGAAAGGCAGGAAUCAAAAGACCUCGGCUCGGGGGCGCGAUAUGACAUAAUCUGGUUGGUGGGGGGUAAACCCCUACCAGGGCCAAUAUCUGUCUCUAGUCUGAGAACACCACCACCCACACUGGCACUGACACCCCCCCCACACUCCUACGAGGGGUCUAAACUGCGGAAUUUUUUGCACUGGGGGCACCCCCAUGAUAACACGAUAGCCGCGUGUGAUAAACAGGCCUUCACGUCGUUGUUGAAGAAAAGCAUGGUUCGAUCACAUGGAAGAGAACACUUUCCAGCCGAAUUAAUCCGCGGAGGACGAUAGACUACCCCAAAAUAAAUAACCACCGGCUGAUAGCUAUCACGCCCCAACCACCUGCUAAAAUACGUUAAAGUCGUGAGAGCUUUAAUCGUAAUUACUUUAGACCGCAAAGCAGAACGCCGGCAGUGCUGCUGUAAAACCUGAUGUCACAAUCCCUCGAGCGUUAACCUCUGAACAACUGCGAUUUGAUACGGCGGAGCUGCUGUUGAUAUGGCAGAGCUGGUGACCUACUUCCAUGUCGUUAGCGAUGUAAAUGAGUAGAGCUGGAGGACGAACCCCCGCUGCGCCCGAAUGCACCCCCCUCCCUCAGUCAAUGACUGACGGGUCAUGCAAGCACAGAGUACGUGAGCGAGCAGGAUCACAUACAUUAGUACCCUGAUUGUUCUCACUCCACUAACGGAUGUCCAUUCGUUGGCUGGCUUGCCUUCACUGGAUUGGCUACGUAACGAAGCUAGACGAGUGAACGUCGACCCCAGUGGCGAGUACAAGAUUCCAAGAUUAAAACUCUUGACCAGGUACCUGCCCGGGCACCCGCACAAGAUGAUGUUUAGUUUGAUUUAAUUCGAAGAACCGCGAAAACCCUUACCCUACCCUUGACAGCCGAUGGAACCUGCUGGAGAGUGGCUGAGGGUGCACGGAAAGGACGCCGUCAAUCCGGAGCUUGCAUGCUUGUCGUCUCCCAUGAGAUGUCCGGAAAUGUAGUGAUAAAGCCCGACGAGCACAGACUCGCAUGCCCUGGUGCUCCCUAGACAAGAGCACUCACAUGACACUGCAACGGUGCCGGUACCAACAGCAGAAAGCGGGAUGACGUCACAGUCCUCCCUGCCCUUUUGGGUUGGGCAGGGCAUCUCAUGCCAUACAAGGGUCGGAAGAGAGGGUCGCGAAGCCGCGAGGUGGAGCCCAUAACAGAAACCCGAUUGUAGUCCGGAUCGCAGUUUGCAACUCGCCCCCGUGAAGAGGAAUCGUUAGUAAUCCCGGAUCAGCAUGCCGCGGUGAAUACGUUCCCGGGUUUUGCCACACCGCCCGUCACACCAUGGGAGUGGUCUAGCAUACAACUUUCUACCUCAAGGACCCCCUCACCACGGUAGCUUCAUUAGGGUGGAAUUACAACAACAA
rnacentral:rRNA from 1 species